AGAGCAGUGGAAGGUACCAUUUCUUUGGGUGGAAACGAUGGCUGUCUGAAGCUGAUAUGACACCACGAACUAUGAGGUACAGCUCAAGGAUUACAAUCAGGAGAAAUUGUAUGCAGAAAAUGUAUUUAAACAUGUUGGAGAGGGUACGAGGAAGCCAAGAUGAAGGCCCGAAACAGAUUUUCAGAUUCUUGAAAAGAAAGCUAUGCAUAGGGUUGAUGUUUGAAUUCAAGGUAACUGCUUUGUCUGAGAAAUUCACAUAUCAUUAUUGAUUGUAGUUGUUGAUUCAAUUACUUGACACCCACGAUUUAGCAUGAGAUAGUGAUUAAUUUACAGCCAGUUGAGUAUAUAAAUGAAAGUCUUCUCAACAACUUUUACUUUAUAUGAAGAGAUUUAUAUUAUUGUCUCUUA